CCUAUACCUGGAGCUCCACUUCACUCUGAGCUCCCACUGACUCUGAAAGCUCCAUCUCCCAUUGAGCUCCCUGUUAAGAGAUAAUAUCCUCUAUAUCUCUUUCCCUACAUCACAACCUUACUAUCAUACAAAACCUUCAAAAUUUUAUCUUCAGCUCUCUACCUAUAGCUGCUUGAAUCCAGUCUGCUCAAUGAAAGUAGAUUAUUCCUGAAAUUGGAUAUGUAUCGGACCUCAUCCAAUUUC
rnacentral:lncRNA from 1 species